UACGUAGGGUGCGAGCGUUAAUCGGAAUUACUGGGCGUAAAGGGUGCGCAGGCGGUUCUGCAAGUCAGGCGUGAAAGCCCCGGGCUUAACCUGGGAAUGGCGCUUGAAACUACAGGACUGGAGUAUGGCAGAGGGAGGUGGAAUUCCACGUGUAGCGGUGAAAUGCGUAGAUAUGUGGAGGAACACCGAUGGCGAAGGCAGCCUCCUGGGCCAAUACUGACGCUCAUGCACGAAAGCGUGGGGAGCAAACAGG
rnacentral:rRNA from 1 species